rnacentral:rRNA from 1 species
AGAGAUGGAUUGGUGCCUUCGGGAACUCUGACACAGGUGCUGCAUGGCUGUCGUCAGCUUGUGUCGUGAGAUGUUGGGUUAAGGUCCGUAACGAGCGCAACCCUGUCCUUAGUUACCAGCACGUUAUGGUGGGCACUCUAAGGAGACUGCCGGUGACAAACCGGAGGAAGGUGGGGAUGACGUCAAGUCAUCAUGGCCCUUACGGCCUGGGCUACACACGUGCUACAAUGGUCGGUACAAAGGGUUGCCAAGCCGCGAGGUGGAGCUAAUCCCAUAAAACCGAUCGUAGUCCGGAUCGCAGUCUGCAACUCGACUGCGUGAAGUCGGAAUCGCUAGUAAUCGUGAAUCAGAAUGUCACGGUGAAUACGUUCCCGGGCCUU